rnacentral:rRNA from 1 species
GACGAACGCUGGCGGCGUGCCUAAUACAUGCAAGUUGAACGGUGAGGCUUUGUUCUUGCACCAAUUUGGAGAGCAGCGAACGUGUGAGUAACGCGUGUGGAAUCUCCCUGUCAUCGGGGUACAACAUGGGGAAACGGAUGCUAAUACCGCAUAACAACUUUAUACAUGGGUUUUAUUUUUGAAAUUUGCCAGUUCAUCACUGACAGAUGAUCCCUCGUUGUAUUAGCUAGUUGGUGGGGUAAAAGCUCACCAACGCGUGGAUACAUAGUCGACCUGAGAGGGUGGUCGGGCAGAUUGGGAAUGAGACACGGCCACAACGCGUCCGGGAGGCAGCAGUAGGGAAUAUUCGGGAAAGGACGAAAGUAUGAUCGAGAAAGGGCGGGAGAGUGAAGAAGGUUCUCGGAUCGUAAAACUCUGUUGGUAGAGAAGAACGUCGGUGAGAGUGGAAAGGACACCAAGUGACGGUAAAUACCCAGAGAAGGACGGCUAACUAACUG